GAUGAACGCCGGCGGUGUGCCUAAUACAUGCAAGUCGAACGCGUUGGUCCAAUUGAUUGAUGGUGCUUGCACCUGAUUGAUUUUGGUCGCCAACGAGUGGCGGACGGGUGAGUAACACGUAGGUAACCUGCCCAGAAGCGGGGGACAACAUUUGGAAACAGAUGCUAAUACCGCAUAACAACGUUGUUCGCAUGAACAACGCUUAAAAGAUGGCUUCUCGCUAUCACUUCUGGAUGGACCUGCGGUGCAUUAGCUUGUUGGUGGGGUAAUGGCCUACCAAGGCGAUGAUGCAUAGCCGAGUUGAGAGACUGAUCGGCCACAAUGGGACUGAGACACGGCCCAUACUCCUACGGGAGGCAGCAGUAGGGAAUCUUCCACAAUGGGCGCAAGCCUGAUGGAGCAACACCGCGUGAGUGAAGAAGGGUUUCGGCUCGUAAAGC
rnacentral:rRNA from 2 species